GAUGAGACUUGUCAAAUAUGCAUGAAGAGUGAUUCAGAAGAUUGUAUGUUACUGUGCAAUGGAUGUGAUGAUGCUUACCAUACCUACUGCCUCCACCCUCCCCUGGUGUCUGUACCCAGCGGCGAAUGGAGGUGUCUCAGUUGUGUGGAAAAGGAAAUAGCUACCCCAAGGACAUCGAAUAAAGAUCCAGAAGCGGUUACACCUCCAAGCUCCAUCACUGAAAGCAAGACAUAUACUACGCGAAGUGGAAGAGCCGUGAAGAAACCUAUCAGAUUCGGAUUCCCGUGAAGUGAACAAACAUUGAACUUUCUCAUGAACAAACGUUGAUAUUUAUAAGUUGAAUUUCACUUGUUAUUUUCAGUAGAUAAGAAAGGGGAUGUAAUGUAUUCAUUGAUUGACACAUGUAUGAUUAGCAUAGCCACGUGUGUAUGUACGCAAGGAACCCAAGCCAGUAAACAGAGAGUACUAAACAUCUUUAUAUUCUUUUGUUAUUAGUUAUCAGACACGUUUUAUCUAAAUUUCGAGGAAAUAAACUAAAUUUUUCAGGCA